rnacentral:rRNA from 1 species
GACGAACGCUGGCGGCGUGCUUAACACAUGCAAGUCGAACGGAAAGGCCCUGCUUGCAGGGUACUCGAGUGGCGAACGGGUGAGUAACACGUGGGUGAUCUGCCCUGCACUUCGGGAUAAGCCUGGGAAACUGGGUCUCAUACCGGAGAGGAGCCAUUUUUAGUGUGAUGGUUGGAAAGUUUUUUCGGUGUAGGAUGAGCUCGCGGCCUAUCAGCUUGUUGGUGGGGGAAUGGCCUACCAAGGCGGCGACGGGUAGCCGGCCUGAGAGGGUGGACGGCCACAUUGGGUCUGCGAUACGGCCCAGACUCCUACGGGCGGCAGCAGUGGGGAAUAUUGCACAAUGGGCGCACGCCUGCUGCAGCGAGGCCGCGUGGGGGAGGACCGCCUGCGGGUUGUACACUCCUUUCGCUAGGGGCGAAGCUUUUUGUGACGGUACCUAGGUAAGAAGCACCGGCUAACUACGUG